UAUUCUUAAACCCUACACCGUCUUCUGCAAUAUUAACAGAACAACAUUUUAUAUAUCUUCUGAUUACUAUUCAAAAUAUUAACUUUCUCCCAGUAAACCACCAAGUUUUCUGAAAAGAUUAAUGUUGAGGACAAGGGAUGAAAUUCGUCGUCUUUGUAAUAAGGACAGAGAUCUGGGACCAAAGGGAAUCGGUGUUAUAGGUAUGGCAAACGCUGAACUCCAACCAAAGAUUUGCUGUUUAAAACUACAAAUGGAGAAGUUAUACGAUCAUCAGUAAACUUAAAAAUUAUCCGAUGGGCACAACAAUACUUAUCCGAAACAUAAGAGCUUAAACCAAGGUUUCAUGAUGCCGGGUCUGUCAGGAGAUUUAUGUACUGCAUGAAGUUCACAAGUGAAGGAUAUCAGGAAAAUCAUGAAGUUCUAUUUCAAGGUUUGCGGAGUUCUUUACAAUAAUUAGAAACCCAAUUGGAGUAUUGUUUAUUUUUUUCAUUAAUAAAUUGUUAAGUCCACUA